rnacentral:tRNA from 1 species
GGCACUGUGGCUCAAAGGAGUAGGGCACUGGCCCCUUAUGCCAGAGGUGGCAGGUUCAAAGCCAGCCCUGGCCA